AAAUUGAAGAGUUUGAUCAUGGCUCAGAUUGAACGCUGGCGGCAGGCCUAACACAUGCAAGUCGAACGGUAGCACAGAGAGCUUGCUCUCGGGUGACGAGUGGCGGACGGGUGAGUAAUGUCUGGGAAACUGCCUGAUGGAGGGGGAUAACUACUGGAAACGGUGGCUAAUACCGCAUAACGUCGCAAGACCAAAGAGGGGGACCUUCGGGCCUCUUGCCAUCAGAUGUGCCCAGAUGGGAUUAGCUGGUUGGU
rnacentral:rRNA from 1 species